UACGGAGGGGGCGAGCGUUGUCCGAAGUUACUGGGCGUAAAGCGCGUGUAGGCGGGUUGCCAAGUCCGCUGUGAAAGCCCCGAGGCUCAACCUCGGAGGGUCGGUGGAUACUGGCAGUCUUGAAGUGGCUAGGGGGAGAUGGAAUUACCGGUGUAGCGGUGAAAUGCGUAGAGAUCGGUAGGAACACCAGUGGCGAAGGCGGUCUCCUGGAGCUAACUUGACGCUGAGACGCGAAAGCUGGGGGGGAGCGAACGGG
rnacentral:rRNA from 1 species